rnacentral:rRNA from 1 species
UACGAAGGGGGCUAGCGUUGCUCGGAAUCACUGGGCGUAAAGCGCACGUAGGCGGACUCUUAAGUCGGGGGUGAAAUCCUGGAGCUCAACUCCAGAACUGCCUUCGAUACUGAAGAGCUCGAGUCCGGGAGAGGUGAGUGGAACUGCGAGUGUAGAGGUGAAAUUCGUAGAUAUUCGCAAGAACACCAGUGGCGAAGGCGGCUCACUGGCCCGGUACUGACGCUGAGGUGCGAAAGCGUGGGGAGCAAACAGG